rnacentral:rRNA from 1 species
GACGAACGCUGGCGGCGUGCUUAACACAUGCAAGUCAUGGGGCCGCAAGGGCAACCGGCGAACGGGUGAGUAACACGUGGGCAACCUGCCCCUAGCUCUGGGAUAACUCCGGGAAACCGGUGCUAAUACCGGAUACGACCUCAAUGGGCAUCUUCUGAGGUGGAAAGAUUUAUUGGCUAGGGAUGGGCCCGCGGCCUAUCAGCUUGUUGGUGGGGUAACGGCCUACCAAGGCGACGACGGGGUAGCCGGCCUGAGAGGGCGACCGGCCACACUGGGACUGAGACACGGCCCAGACUCCUACGGGAGGCAGCAGUGGGGAAUAUUGCGCAAUGGGCGAAAGCCUGACGCAGCGACGCCGCGUGA